rnacentral:rRNA from 1 species
AUUAACGCUAGCGGCAGGCCUAAUAUACCUGCAAGUCGUGGUCGGUAACAGGGUGUAGUCAAAUACAUGCUGACGACCGGCGCACGGGUGCGUAACGCGUAUGCAACCUACCUUUGACGUGGGGGAUAGCUCCGAGAAAUCGGAAUUAAUACCGCCAUAAUAUUACGACCGGGGACAUCCCCUUGUAAUCAAAACUCCCGGUGGUCAAAAGAUGGGGCAUGCGUGACAUUAGCUAGUUGGUGAGCCGGUAACGGCUCACCAAGGCGACGAUGUCUAGGGGGUCUUGAGAGGAUGAUCCCCCACACUGGUACUGAGACACGGACCAGACUCCUACGGGAGGGCAGCAGUAAGGAAUAUUGGUCAAUGGGGGCAACCCUGAACCAGCCAUAGCCGCGUGAAGGAUGAAGGCGCUAUGCGUCGUAAACUUCUUUUAUACGGGAGGAAACCUCCCGCCUUCGUGGCGGGACUGAUGGUACCGUAAGAAUAAGGGUCGGCUAACUCCGUGCCAGCAGCCGCGGUAAUACGGAUGGACCCGAGCGUUAUCCGGAAUUCAUUGGGUUUAAAGGGUGCCGUAGGCGUCCACUGGUUAGUUUUCGGUGAAAUCCUCAAGCUUAACUUGAGAACUGCCGAGAAUACUGCCAGGAUUGAGUACAGUUGAGGUGGGGCGGAAUGUGUCGUGUAGCGGUGAAAUGCUUAGAUAUGACACAGAACACCGAUUGCGAAGGCAGGCUCGCUAAACUGUAACUGACGCUGAGGCACGAAAGCGUGGGGUAGCAAACAUGGAUUAGAUACCCUGGUAGUCCACGCCCUAAACGAUGAUUACUCGAUGUGUGCGAUACACAGUACGCGUCUAAGCUAAAGCAUUAAGUAAUCCACCUGGGGAGUACGGUCGCAAGAUUGAAACUCAAAGGAAUUGACGGGGGGCCCGCACAAGCGGAGGAGCAUGUGGUUUAAUUCGAUGAUACGCGAGGAACCUUACCUGGGCUUGAAAGUUAGUGAAUGUUCUGGAAACAGGACAGUCAGCAAUGGACACGAAACUAGGUGCUGCAUGGCUGUCGUCAGCUCGUGCCGCUGAGGUGUUGGGUUAAGUCCCCGCAACGAGGCGCACACCCUACUGUUAGGUUGCCAUCGGGUAAUGCCGGGGACUCUAACAGGACUGCCCGCGCAAGCGGUGAGGAAGGUGGGGAUGACGUCAAGUCAUCACGGCCCUUACGUCCAGGGCUACACACGUGGCUACAAUGGUCCGGUACAAAGGGCAGCUACAUGGCAACAUGAUGCUAAUCUCUAAAGCCGGUCUCAGUUCGGAUUGAGGUCUGCAACUCGACCUCAUGAAGCUGGAUUCGCUAGUAAUCGUACAUCAGCAAUGGUACGGUGAAUACGUUCCCGGGCCUUGUACACACCGCCCCGUCAAGCCAUGGAAGUUGGGAGUACCUGAAGUCGAUAACCGCAAGGAGUCGCCUAAGGAAAACCAUGACUGGGGCU